AGUUGUGAGCAGCUGGCGAUGGUCGGGGUACGGCGAGGCAGAGGGAGGCCUAAGAGGUAUUGGAGAGAGGUGAUUAGGCAUGACAUGACUAGAAUGCGGGUUUCCGAGGACAUGACCCUUGAUAGGAAAGUCUGGAGGUCUAGUAUUAGGGUUGUAGGAGAUUAGGCAUGACAUGGCUAGAAUGCGGGUUUCUGAGGACAUGACCCUUGAUAGAAAAGUCUGGAGGUCUAGUAUCAGGGUUGUAGGAUAGGGGCCCCUAGGGUUUUUCGUACUCCUCACCCGGGGUUGGUGAGGCUUGACAGGGC
rnacentral:lncRNA from 1 species